UACGUAGGGUGCAAGCGUUGUCCGGAAUUAUUGGGCGUAAAGAGCUCGUAGGCGGUUUGUCGCGUCUGCUGUGAAAACUCGGGGCUUAACCCCGGGCCUGCAGUGGGUACGGGCAGACUAGAGUGCGGUAGGGGAGACUGGAAUUCCUGGUGUAGCGGUGAAAUGCGCAGAUAUCAGGAGGAACACCGAUGGCGAAGGCAGGUCUCUGGGCCACUACUGACGCUGAGAAGCGAAAGCAUGGGGAGCAAACAGG
rnacentral:rRNA from 1 species